rnacentral:tRNA from 1 species
AGGUCAAUAGCUCAGUUGGUAGAGCAGUUGACUUUUAAUCAAUUGGUCGCAGGUUCGAAUCCUGCACGACCCACCA